rnacentral:rRNA from 1 species
UAGGGAAUCUUCGGCAAUGGGGGGAACCCUGACCGAGCAACGCCGCGUGAGUGAAGAAGGUUUUCGGAUCGUAAAGCUCUGUUGUUAAGGAAGAACGAGUGUGAGAAUGGAAAGUUCAUACUGUGACGGUACUUAACCAGAAAGGGACGGCUAACUACGUGCCAGCAGCCGCGGUAAUACGUAGGUCCCGAGCGUUGUCCGGAUUUAUUGGGCGUAAAGCGAGCGCAGGCGGUUAGAUAAGUCUGAAGUUAAAGGCAGUGGCUCAACCAUUGUAGGCUAUGGAGACUGUUUAACUUGAGUGCAGAAGGGGAGAGUGGAAUUCCAUGUGUAGCGGUGAAAUGCGUAGAUAUAUGGAGGAACACCGGUGGCGAAAGCGGCUCUCUGGUCUGUAACUGACGCUGAGGCUCGAAAGCGUGGGGAGCGAACAGG